AAAUAUAAUAAUAUAAUAGAAACCAUACAUGUGUAUGCAUAGCUUUAUAAAAUCUCUUAAAAAGAGUGUGUAUGCAUAUAUGUAUGCUGGAUUAACUUUUUUAGACCCUAUGUUUGUCUCCUUGCGUCAUCGGAGUUGUUUUCCUGUUUGUCUCUAGGUGGAUGUGCUGGAGUCUCAGUUCUCUCAGCUGCUUCAGCAGAUCAACUCCACCAGAGACUUCGAGAGCAUCCGACUGGCCCACGACCACUUCCUCAGCAACCUGCUCGCCCAGUCCUUCAUCCUCCUGAAGCCGGUAUUUCACUGUCUGAACGAGAUCCUCGAGCUGUGCCACAACUUCUGCUCACUGGUGAGUCAGAGUGUGGUGUCGCUGGACGAGAGGGGAACCGCUCAGCUCGAUAUCCUGGUCAAGGGCUUCAGACGUCAGUCCUCCUUACUGUUUAAAAUCCUUUCGAGCGUGAGGAACCAUCAGAUAAACUCUGAUCUGGCUCAGCUCUUACUGCGACUGGACUACAACAAAUACUACACGCAGGCUGGAGGCACGCUGGGCAGUGUUUAAGAGUGCAAAGGAUUAAGAUUUGGAGACAUGUCCUCCUCUGCUAACCUCUCACACUGAACAGAAGAAACUCCCAUCAGUCCUGUCCUUUGUCUUAACCAAACACCGUUAGUGUGGCAUGCCUGUUAAAAUGAUGUUUAAAGAGUUCGUUCACCCAAAUAAUACAGUCAUUUUCCUCACUUACCUCUAGUGGUAUCCGCCUGCAGGAUUGCUUGUGGCGCUUUCAGCAUUGAAAAAUGGACACACAAUCUCACUGACAGAUUUCAGUGGGACUAUUUCUUUGAUAGAAAGUAGUUCCAGUGACUGUUUAGUGAGAUUAUCAACAAUAACCAGACGAAGUGAAUCUUCCUGUAAAAAGCCUAGCUCGACUGAGCUUUACAAACUGAAUCAUGCUUAAGCAGCUUCAAACUAAAGUAAUGAGACUAAUUCAAGCCUGGUUUAAGAGCUGUUUAUAUAUUGGAUUUAAAAGUUCAACAUUUUGGGAAAUGUGCUUAUUUAAUACUGAGAAUAAGAUGUAAAUAUUGAUUCCACUCAUCGUCUGUUAAAUAUGAAGCUACAGAGGUCAAAACUCCAGCAACGCCUGUAAUAUAGAGAACAACUUUAAUGUCAACACUGUUUGCUUGAGACCAUCAUCGUCCACAGCCAGGAGACUAUUGGCUUAGCUUAGCAUAAACACCUUUGGAUUUAGCCAGCCAGGCUAGCUGUAGCUACAUAUUUAGCAUAGAGACAUGAGAGGUGAACUAAUCUUCUCAGCUAACUCUGCAAAUAAGAAAAUUGACCAAGCUGCUUUAAUGUAUUCUCUUCCACUGUGAAGCUCUGGAAGCAGAAAUCUCAGACAGAUCUAAACAGCUUAGCAUUAUCUGCCAGAUGAAAGACCACUAGAACUUAGCGGGAGUUUUUUUGGGUGAUCUGACUCUUUGGCUAUAGCACUCUGUCCUUGUAUAAACUGUAAAUAUGAAAAACCUUGUAUGUACCAUUUACUGUAGAGAAAAUAAACUUAAAUCAGUUAAAAUGAAA